GUCUACGGCCAUACCACCCUGAACACGCCCAAUCUCAUCUGAUCUCGGAAGCUAAGCAGGGUCAGGUCUGGUUAGUACUUGGAUGGGAGAAAUUAAAAUGAAUAAAGCUACCAUUUAUA
rfam:Heterocephalus glaber contig226081, whole genome shotgun sequence.